ensembl:lncRNA
CACUGUUAAAUUUACUUUACAAGACCCUGUUAUCAUCAAAAUCUCUGAUAAACCUAGUCUGUACAAAGAUAAGAACAAGAUAGGAAGUUGCAAACAAAUCAGCCCUUGUAAAGAAAAGUUUGCACUCAGUGAUGUGGAAAACUGUACUGUCACACUACACAUCACAAAUCUCACACUGGAAGAUGAAGGAACAUAUCAUGUUGCAGUGUAUUCGGAAGGUGCUAUCCCUCUUAUUGAGAGCAAUAGAAUUUAUAUUAAAGUCACAUUAAGCAAUACAACAACAGAAACUACAACCACAGCUGUGCAUGAAAAUGUAGUGACUAAUUCACCUAAACUGGAGCUAUCGGAACAAAAACCAUUCUUCAUUUUCUUCAGUGCAUCAGUCAUAAUAUUUAUAUGUCUUUUUGUGGGCAUAUUGUGCUGGCUUUUUAGGACCUAUCCAAGAAAACCAGGUAAUGUAGAAUUGUUGCAUUGAAAUUUUGAAUCAAUUUUCUUAUA